GGAACAAGACCCAGUGUGCAGAACAGGGAUUUGUUCUCUUGCAGGUGGUGAGUUUUCUGGAACAUCUUUCUUACCUUUCCCAGAGAGUAACAGUGGCUCCUGUCUCCGUUAGCCCAGUGUCUUGGCUCAGAAGUCACUCAGUGCUGUCUUUCCCGCAGGCACACUUGGGGGCAAAUAUCUACUAAGUUUUCCUGGAUGCCAGCUACUGUGAUUGAAAGAG
rnacentral:lncRNA from 1 species